CCCCAGUAACCAAGACCCUCGGAGCAGGGACCAUAGCCUCCUCCUGGAAUACAUAGUAUUACUAUCAGUCCUACAGGUAGUCCUACAGGUACUACUACUACAACAAUCAGUCCUACAGGUAGUCCUACAGGUACUACUACUACUACAAUCAGUCCUACAGGUAGUCCUACAGGUACUACUACUACUACAAUCAGUCCUACAGGUAGUCCUACAGGUACUACUACUACUACAAUCAGUCCUACAGGUAGUCCUACAGGUACUACUACUACAAUCAGUCCUACAGGUAGUACUACAAUCAGUAGGUAGUACUACAAUCAGUACUACAGGUAGUACUACAGGUAGUCCUACAAUCAGUCCUACAGGUAGUCCUACAAUCAGUCCUACAGGUAGUCCUACAGGUACUACUACUACAAUCAG